UACGUAGGGGGCUAGCGUUGUCCGGAAUCAUUGGGCGUAAAGAGCGCGUAGGCGGCCAGAUAAGUCCGGUGUGAAAGUCACAGGCUCAACCUGUGAAUGCCGCUGGAAACUGUAUGGCUAGAGUCCGGAAGGGGCGAGUGGAAUUCCUGGUGUAGCGGUGAAAUGCGCAGAUAUCAGGAGGAACACCGAUGGCGAAGGCAGGUCUCUGGGCCACUACUGACGCUGAGAAGCGAAAGCAUGGGGAGCGAACAGG
rnacentral:rRNA from 1 species